rfam:Achromobacter xylosoxidans A8, complete genome.
AAACAGUACUCUGGAGAGACCUGGCGCCGCCCCUGAACUAGGGACAUAGCGAGCAGCCCAGGCGCCGAAGGUGCAAACCCGCCAUGCGGGGCAACUCUCAGGCAAAAGGACAGAGGGGCGGAA